GAGCUGCCGCAGGCGUGCCGCCAAAGAAUCAAAGGCGGCAGCUCCUUCAGUGAUGACCUUCCUGCUGCGCACCCCCAGGGAUGGUCUUGCGCAUCCGCUGUGGUGUGCACACCCCGCUUUGGAGACCACUGGUGUAGCCUAUAGGACUAACCUGCUUGCUUGCAUAGAUAUAUCUUUUUGUUUAAGUUUAAGUAUUUGGUUUUUUGUAAUAGGUUUAUAGAUUUAUAUUAAAGUAAAUCUUGGCUCUAACGCAAGAGACCUAAAGGCCAUAUCCUGUAUGUUAAGCUAAGUUAACACAUCUAUAUUAACACCAUUUACCCAGAAAAGUAAAGUUAACCUAUAUCUUGUUACCUAAAUAAAUAAGUAUCCACGCAUAUGUCUAUAACCUUCUACCUAGACCAAUAGAUAAUGAAGAAUGGCAUAGAGGAUUUUUCAGUGUGGUACCCACAAACUUAACAGGUACAUCACAAGGAAACUUAACGUGCGUAUACUGUAUACAUGUCAAUAUGCACAAACCUUCUAGCUUAUGGAGUAAGUGUACCCUAACAUUUGUGGGUGAGAAAUAAAAUUUGGGCAUAGGAGAAAGGAUUUCCGGCACUUGUGGCCUAUAAAAGAGGUGACCGACCUCGCUAGAGCACUUCAUUUCACUCCACUCCGCUCUGUUAUUUUCAUUUGCUCUGUCUUACACUCACUCUAUCUAUUCUACCUACAAUGGCUACUACUAUUGGUAGGCUAUACUUGUUCUUCUUAAACUUUAAGUUUCAAGGGAACUAGGCUCAGCUUGUUUCAGACUUCUGAGUUUUGUUUUAUUAGGUUUUAAGUUUAAGUUUAAGUUAGUCAAGUAAACCCUAAGUUAGCUCUUAGCAUUAGUUUUUCUAAGCUCUGCAUCAAGAAUUGAGAAACGUGAACUGCAAGUCUGGUCCUGUGUCUCUUACCCCCAGGUUAUCAAGGAAAGGUGUGAGUACAUUAACCAAAGCUUUGUAGCAUAUAAUACUAUAUUAUCACAUGUAUCUUUUGAAUAGCAGUAAUGCAAUUGUAACUUUGUAACUCUGUGUAUUUUACCAUUUACUUACUAUUAUAAAUUUUAAUAAAAAGUUUGUAAGGCUA